AAGCAGCCGCGGUAAUUCCAGCUCCAAUAGCGUAUAUUAAAGUUGUUGCAGUUAAAAAGCUCGUAGUUGAAUUUCGAGACCGGCUUACUGGUCGUGCUAUUGUACGUACUGGUAUAAUCGGUUUCUCCUUUCUGACGAACUAUAAUGCCAUUAAUUUGGUGUUUUAGGGAAUCAGGACUGUUACUUUGAAAAAAUUAGAGUGUUUAAAGCAGGCUCACGCUUGAAUACAUUAGCAUGGAAUAACGGAAUAGGACGUUUGAUUCUAUUUUGUUGGUUUCUAGGAUCGACGUAAUGAUUAAUAGGGAUAGUUGGGGGCAUUAGUAUUCAAUUGUCAGAGGUGAAAUUCUUGGAUUUAUUGAAGACUAACUACUGCGAAAGCAUUUGCCAAGGAUGUUUUCAU
rnacentral:rRNA from 1 species